rnacentral:lncRNA from 1 species
CUUGACCUUCUGCCUCAGUCUUCCAAGUAGCUGGGACUACAGGCAUGCACCACCACACUCAGCUUGAACAAGUUUUCAUAUUGAUUGUUGAAAUAAUAUUUGGGAUAUAUUUGAGAUAUAUUGGGUUAAAUGAAUCUAUUUUUAUAUCCACCUUUUUCUUUUUACCUUUUUGAUGUGGUUACUACAGAAUUGUAUGUGGCUUUGCACUGCAUGUCUACGGAGUAGGGCUGGUGCAGACCCCUGUAGCCUCGCCUCCUUCUCUACCUUGUGUUCCAGUGUCCCCUGUUCUGCUUUGCCUGUUCACGUGUUCAAAGGUCUCCUGCGUUCACUUUUUGCUCCGCACAUCUUGUGAGUGACCUUUGGCCUGAGGGCUACGAUCUGCUUAGGAGUUCUGUAAGUUCUCAAUUAGAACUUCCUUGGCCCAUUCUGCAACCCACCAUGGGUGGAGCUGAGGCCCAGGAGCACAGUCUGAUGUCCCUGGAGACGUCAUUAGGGCUAGUCCCUGUGUGUAGAACUCAGCAGAUCCUACGGCUGAGCGGGGGCGGCUGGGUGCAGGGCCAAGUACUCUCUGGGUGUCCCUGGGGGAUGCUUCACCCUAAAUGCCUCUUAGAUUUCUGCAUUGUGGUACUUAUCAGUAUGAUGGUGGGGAUGCAGGCUUUGGAGUUUGAGAGGUUCUGAUCACAACUGCACAGCUCUACUAGCUGUGAGACAUUGGGCUCGUUUCUAGAUUCCUCUGUGCCUCUUGUCUUCUUUUCUGUGAAAUGGAGGCAAUCACACCUUCUGGGAAUUACUGAUAGACUGACAUGGGAUUAUUCAUAUGAGCUGCCCAUCUAGAGCCAGGCACAUGGGAGACGCUCAGUGGAUCUUGCCCCACUUCCCAACCCUCUCUCCACACUUGGUGAGGAGUAGGCAUUGGUAGAGGAGGAGAGAGCGAGGACCAAAAGGGCUCAGGACAGAAAGGCUGAGGACAACAAAGGAAAACUUCCUGACUGCCCAUUUUUGCCCAGGGCCAGCCCUGAAGGAGGAGAUGGGGCUGGGGCUGCUGGGAGCUCGGGGUUAAUGAAGAAUGGGAGCCCACUCCGAGGCUGUCACCAUUGAUUUUUCGUUCCAAGCAGCUUGCAAGCUGCCCCCGGAAUCAAUGUCAGAAGGUGAAAACAAAUUUCUAAAAUUAGCCUGGAAUAUACUGCAAGAAAAACCUUCUGCACAACAAAUAGUAAUAAAGCAAAUACCCAGGGAAGGUGUCGCUAUGGGGAGUGCAGGGGACAGUCAGACCACCCUGAAGCCCGCUGCCUCAGUGUGGAACUCUCCCACCCUGGGAAAUACACUCCAUCACCACAGGGACACACACACAGUCCAUUCCGGCACCCGAAGUCCUGACUUCAGCCAUUAAACUAAGCAGGAGGGAAUGGCCAAGCGCUCUGAGCUGACUUUGGGACAGUUGGGAGGGAAGGGCACCCUUGUACCCUGCUGGUGGCGCUGGAAAACAGUUCAACUGGUCAGAGGGCUCGUAUUUUGUGGGCAGGCAAUGCUGGGAAAUUGUUUGGAUUUUUGGCCAGGCUACGCUGCUGGGCAGAAUCAGAUGUGACCAUUCCUGCCAGGUUAGGAAUCCCAGACGUGACAGUUUCUGCUCACUUUUCAUGAUGAUGUAUCUGAGGCAAACCUUAGUGAACAGGCUGUCAGAAGCCCAAAUGUCUGAGUACCUUAUUUUACAGCUCCCCCUGGCCCCACCACGGAAAAACUGUAAGAGGGGACAUAAACAACGAAUUUCAGGGGGACCAUUUUGUGGCAGGAGGUAUCCUCUGGGGACCUAGCUCCCAGACUGAGAGGCUUCUAGAAGGGGAGUAUGAGUGGGGAGGAUAUUUAUCCUAACUUUUGUGACUUAGAGAUAACACAAAUGGAUGCAAGAACACGCCUGUGGGUCCCCCCUCCUAAGUGGUCUCUGGAAAGUUUUGGAACAACUAAGUGUCUGAGUUGGAAGGUUCUUGGCCCAUUGUCUGCUCGCAGUGGGACUGAACAUCAUUACCAUCCACAGCAGCUGGAAAAACUUGGGUUUAAGGCUCUAAAUCUGCCAGAGUAGAUAGUCACCAACUGGGGGAGGUUUUGAACAAAUUCCUUUUGCAAAGUAGACUCUGAGGAAAUAACCAAGAGGAAAACAAAUAUUUGCAGACCCGAGUAUGUAGCUGCUUGCUUCGAAAAUGUAAAAUACUGCAAACAAACCAAUGUGUAACUUCUGGGGCUCUGUUAAGUGGCACAGUGGUGUCAUGGGGUGCUAUGUGGGGCCACAUGGUAUAGCCACUAGGGUGAGAUGAUAUGGGCUGAGAGGCACACAGUGAUCUGGGGCUUCAGCUGGGAUCAUUGAGGGCAGGAUCGUCAGAAGAAAUGAGCCAUGAUGAACACACUUCACGGACAUUGAUUAUAAAAGUCACCAAGAUCAGAAACUCAGUUCCAGAAGGGCCCUUGGUGGUAAUCUUGUCUAACUCUUCAUUUCACUAAUUAUUAAUUCAACACAGUUUUUUUUGAGCACCUAUUAUAAUCCAGGUAUGUGCCAAAGACCUGGGGAAAUAAUGUUGAGAAAACCCAAAGUCCUGACCCUCCCAGCCUUCCAGGUGUAGGGCACAAACACUGUCUACAUUGCUUCUUAUAAUCAGUGACCAUCUGACAUCUGCCGGAGGCCA